AGAAUGUAAAAUAUUUCCCGGACAGAAACAGCCCGGCUUUUUACAUAGUAGAAUUAGUGGCCCACUGCUUUAAAGCUUUCACUGACAAAGCAAAGACUGCAUUAAAUAUGAAGUUUGUGUUCACACAGAACUCUACGCUCUCACUGUUGGCUAGGCAUGCAAGUAGUUGUAUUUGUUUCGCACAUUUAAGCAGCUGAUUAAAAGAACAAAACAGGGAAAGGUCAGUUGCUGUAAGUGCCCUGGUACGGUGGAAUAGGGGGAGUAAGAGGGGAGACCUAUGGCCUGACAGAAGGAGGUUGUUCAAAGGCUAUGAGGAAGAAUGGUCCAUAAAAGUUAUUUGCCUAAAAUGAGGAUAGUAAUUCUCCAUUCCUGGAGGAAAAGCUGUUGGAGUUGUAUUGAUUUGGGAUGCUGAUGUGGAUGGUGAUUCAGGUUGGGAGAUUCUGCAAGUGCUUUGAAGAAUCUUCUGGAUGAGCCAGUUUCUCCAGUGACUGCAAAGAAGGCCUCAGGAUUUUGCCUCCCUCCACUGAGGUAGUACAAGCAGUGAGCCACGAAUUUGCUGACUUUUCACGUACACAAGGAGCCAAGAUCCGGGAACUGCAGCAUCUGGCCUGCCAGCAGAGAGCAGGGAAAAAAUCACAUGUGAUCAAGACUUCCUCUGAGAACUGGAAGCUAAGGCCUUCAUCACAUGAAGUGGUUUGUGAAAAGGACAAUUGCUUGGAAAUGAUCAAAUUUUAUUUUGAUGAGGACAGCAAUCAUGUGGACAAAUGCAAGAUGGCUGGUGAGAAUGGAGACAAGUGAAGUGGAAACUCCCAAAGCUCAAACAGAACAACUUUUCUCAAGCAAGUAUGCAUACAGCAGUAAGGAGCAGUGCAGAUCCAGAAGGCUCUGUGGACUACAGCUCAGGACCGCCUGGGGGUCCCACGAUCCUGGCUUACUACAUCUGCUGGUGUGGGAGCUGCCCCAUGCCGUGGAACAAGGAGAUUCACGCAUCCCUUCCCAUAAGGGUGCAGUGGGCUCUGCGCCGCAGCGAUUCUUCCAGCCCAGAAGUAGGUCACCUCAGGUCUCCUCACUACAGACAUCUCAGCCACAUGAAAAGCAAACCCAAGACAUCAUGUGAAGCAGGUCCCACCGGAGCAAAAUUCAUCAGACUCAAUUAACAACAUCUGAAAAGUGUAUCUUGGUUAGUAACUGAUGAGGCAGAGCCUGUGUGGGCUCUGCUCUCGCUGACCCAUCACCCCGUGCCACUCCAAGAAACCAGCUCCUCAGGCAAUAGGUAGCAGCCACCUCAGCUUACUGUUACCGGGAGAGCUAAGCAAACAUUUCAGGGGCUGCCAAACCACCGGCUACUCCCAUCCCAGAGCUUCAGAGUGACACGUGCCCCUUGCUACGGGGCUCCAAAUGCUCUGUGAGUAUCCGGGCAUCCUCCCGGUUUCUGCACUGCGACCUGAGGAGUCCCACGGUGGCCAGCCCGUGACUGCCAAGCCUCUCAUCUUCAGGGUGAUUCCUGUCAGCCAGCCUGCCCCUGGAGUCCUGCGAAUGCCAGGGCAGUUUGGGGUCUGCCUCAUGGGAGCACCUGGCAGUCCUAGAGGGCAGCUUACAGUGUGAUGCCAGUAUCGUGGAAAAGCACAAGUGCUUCCAGCGGGUGAUGCGAACGUCUGAUCUAAAGAACUCCCUAAGUAAGGGACCGAUCCCCAACCCGAGGGGAGUGAGCGCCGGGCCUCCCAUCAACUUCAAAGGGCCUCGGGUCCCGCCCGGCUCACUGGCUUCGGGCAGGGGCCGGCGUCGCCCUCGCAGCUCUGCUGUGGAUCCGUCUGCCACCCCGAGCACGCUCCAUAAAACUCCUCAGUGACUUAAAAGCCUGGAAGAGAAAAGCUCCAAGCAGAAAAUAAAUAAAUGAAAUAAAACAAAACAAUGCUGGCCUCCCAGCCCCCGCACAUGCAAACAUGAGGUUUAAGAUUGGAUCAUGGUUGGGUUUCAUUCCAAGUAUAAAAAUGGGUUUAGAAGACUUCAGUUUAAAUUGCUUCCUGUCUCCCAACAUUCCUAACCACAAAUAUUUUUAAUUGUACGGCACGAAAAUAAAGUUAUUUAAUAAAUUAACGCUUUAAA